CCCUUAGAUGUUCUGGGCCGCACGCGUGCUACACUGAGUGGAUCAGCGGGUCAGGUUACGCGAGAGCGUUUCCUAAUCUUCAAAUCCGCUCGUGAUGGGGAUUGACGGUUGCAAUUUUCCAUCAUGAACGAGGAAUACCUUGUAAGCGCGGGUCAUCAUCCCGCGCUGAAUACGUCCCUGCCCUUUGUACACACCGCCCGUCGCUCCUACCGAUUGAGUGGUCCGGUGAGGCUUUGGGAUCUAAGCGAAAAGAGCGUUUCGCUCCUUUUGCUGGGAGAACUCAGUCGAACCUUAUCAUUUAGAGGAAGGAGAAGUCGUAACA
rnacentral:rRNA from 1 species